rnacentral:rRNA from 1 species
GACGAACGCUGGCGGCGUGCCUAACACAUGCAAGUCGAACGAAGAAUGUUUUUCGGAAUAUUCUUAGUGGCGGACGGGUGAGUAACGCGUGAACAAUCUGCCCCGUACAAAGGGAUAGCCUCGGGAAACCGGGAUUAAAACCAUAUAACACUUAACUGCCGCAUGGUAGUGAAGUCAAAUCGAUUAAGAGGUAUGGGAUGAGUUCGCGUCUGAUUAGCUAGUUGGUGAGGUAAGGGCUCACCAAGGCGACGAUCAGUAGCCGGCCUGAGAGGGUGAACGGCCACACUGGAACUGAGACACGGUCCAGACUCCUACGGGAGGCAGCAGUGGGGAAUAUUGCACAAUGGAGGGAACUCUGAUGCAGCGACGCCGCGUGAGUGAAGAAGGUCUUCGGAUCGUAAAACUCUGUCCUUGGUGAAGAAAAGGACGGUAGCCAAGGAGGAAGCCCCGGCUAACUACGUGCCCAAGGCAGCCGCGGUAAAAGUCACGUCG